GCGGUUGUAGCUCAGUUGGUAGAGCAGCAGCUUCCCAAGCUGCAGGUCGCCGGUUCGAGACCGGUCAGCCGCUCCA
rnacentral:tRNA from 2 species